CCGCCCGGGCUCCCCCGGGCUCUGCCUCCCGUGCCUACUGAGCUGAAACACAGUUGGUUUGCGCAGACUGGCUCAGUUCAGCAGGAACGGGAGUCCAGCCUCCUCGGGGCCCGCGGCCCU
rnacentral:pre_miRNA from 15 species